AAAUUGAAGAGUUUGAUCAUGGCUCAGAUUGAACGCUGGCGGCAGGCCUAACACAUGCAAGUCGAACGGUAACAGGAAACAGCUUGCUGUUUCGCUGACGAGUGGCGGACGGGUGAGUAAUGUCUGGGAAACUGCCUGAUGGAGGGGGAUAACUACUGGAAACGGUAGCUAAUACCGCAUAACGUCGCAAGACCAAAGAGGGGGACCUUCGGGCCUCUUGCCAUCGGAUGUGCCCAGAUGGGAUUAGCUUGUUGGUGGGGUAACGGCUCACCAAGGCGACGAUCCCUAGCUGGUCUGAGAGGAUGACCAGCCACACUGGAACUGAGACACGGUCCAGACUCCUACGGGAGGCAGCAGUGGGGAAUAUUGCACAAUGGGCGCAAGCCUGAUGCAGCCAUGC
rnacentral:rRNA from 1 species